UUUUACAACUUCACCUUGUCAUACUCAUACACCUUGAGCGGGGUCAUCUGAAAAUGUUUGGGUCCAGUUGGCAGCACGGUCAAUUGGCAUCAGUUGGACAUUUUGCGCAUUUACUAUACGCAAUUUGUAAUUUGUUUGAAACUUGAAGUUGCAUUUAACGAAACGAAUGAACAGGGUACAAGAGUAGAGCAAAGGCAAUUUUACCAGUAAAAGUAUCCGUUUGUGUCGAUUGAGAAAAAUACAUAAGCUGUUUUUGAAAUAGUUGACGUAUUGCAAAUCGUGGUGCAUUUUUGUUUGUGAUGGAUAAAGCGACGCAGUUUUCGUGAAGUUGUAUGCAUUAAGCAAUCAUAUCAGCAAAUAAUGGAUUCUAAAAUUCGCAUCAGUGGACCCGUGCACUGAGGCAGAUUGCCCGGCACCGGCCACGACCAGCACUACUAUCACUACCACCAUUACCACCAUCACCAUAAUCACCGCCGCCUCUCCGUCAGUACCACCUCCAGCCCAGGUACCUUCGCGGUCCCAAACCAGUCCUUCCGACUACCGACCAAUUGUCCGAUAGUCAUCUCAUUUCCGGACUUGAUGGCGAUGAGAGUUGGGGGAAUCGUUACUGCUAGUUCAGAGUACCGGUUCCUAUGCCGUUACCAUCGACACCGUCUCCCGCCACAAGAAAGCGGAAUUAAAUAGUGCUCUGUACCGACCACUAGGAGAAAAUGUCCGGAAUGUUUUGGGACAACACAUCGCGACCACCGCAAACCUCAUCAGCACCAGUUGCAUCGACGUCUCUAACCAGUCUGCCUACGAUCAGGUUCGGGGCACCGUUGUACCUAUCCCCGUUGCAGGAGCCCGCUCCCUCCACCGCUCCCACCACCGCUCCCACCAUCGCUCCCACCAUCGCUCCCAUCAUCGCUCCCACCAUCGCUCCCACCAUCAAUCCCACCAUCGCUCUCACCACCGCUCCAACCUCCGCUCUCACCACCGCUCUCACCACCGCUCCCACCAUCGCUCCACCGCCGCUCGGGCUACCACCGUAACUCCAACCGCCGCUCCAAACGCCGCUUCCACCGCCGCUCGGACCACCGCUUCCACCACCGCAACUCCCACUGCCGCGUUCACCGCCCUUACCACCGCUUCCAUCGCAACACGGACCGUCGCUCCAUUUGUCCAUGUUGAUUCAGCCACCGUCCCCGAUGUGUACCAGUUGCUAAGCGAGAACGCCAACCAGACAGCCGCGCUCGCCAGCCAGUCAGCCAAACAGACAGCCGACAUAAAUCGCCGCUUGGACGUUUUAACGGCGCAAAACGAAUCUGUGCAGAAAGAGGUCGUUGUUGUCCAGAAAACUACGGCGGUUAUGGAGGCCGUGGUAAACCGAUUGCAGCAAACAAUAUGUGGCGAUGAGGAUGGAAGUUCGCCUUCCAUCCCGGAGGACUUCACUCUGCAGCCUGUACGGUCGGAGGACGAGCUGAACGACAUGGAGCGCAAGUUGAGCGACAAUCAAUAUAUGAAGAAUGGUGUGGCUUGGCUGCACAACAACAUCACGGCCAGAAAUAUGGACAAGCGGCUGAACGAGGUGAAGGACCUGGAACUGGAUGCCACUUUUGUGUUGCAUUGCCGUUGGUCUGCGAGGAACGAAAAAAUAGUGAUGUCCCAUUUCCCUAACGUAUGUGAGCUGUUCCGGCGAGCGGCAUCAUCGGCGAAUUCGUCGAUUAUAUACGUAAGCGAUUUUUUUUCAAACGCGUAUUGCGAUACGUAAAAUAAGCUGGUUAGUUUAAGUAAGUUUAAGUUUAAGAUAGUUUAGUGACACUAUUUCAUUAGGUUAGUACAUUAAUUUCAAAGUUAAGUUAAGUUAGUUAAAGUGAAAGACGUAUACAUUUAAGUAUUGAAAUAAUGUAAAUAUAUUAUGAUUAUGACUACGAAAAUAACAUUUUGAUUCUUUCACAAAACAACCAACCAAAACAUGCUCACUAUUC